rnacentral:rRNA from 1 species
GACGAACGCUGGCGGCGUGCCUAAUACAUGCAAGUAGGACGCAGUUGCGAACGGGUGAGUAACGCGUAGGUAACUACCUAUUAGAGGGGGAUAACUAUUGUAAACGCUAGCUAAUACCGCAUACUAGUAGACGGCCCUGCGUUGUAUUAGCUAGUAGGUAGGGUAAUGGGCUAACUAGGCAACGAUACAUAGCAGACCUGAGAGGGUGGUCGGCCACACUGUGACUGUGGCACGGCCCAGACUCCUACGGGAGGCAGCAGUAGGGAAUCUGCGGCAAUGGGGGGAACCCGAACCGAGCAAAGCCGCGGGAGUGAAGAAGGUUUUCGGAUCGUAAAGCUCUGUUGUUAAGGAAGCGGUACUUAACCAGAAAGGGACGGCUAACUACGUGCCAGCCGCCGCGGUAAUAC